UUCUAACAGUAUAAGUUCCCUGGGACAGGAUGUGAAUAAAUAUAUAAAUCAAGACACUUCAACCAGUUUUAUAAUUACAUUGAAACAAAGCUCAAGCGAGUUGUUAAAACUGGGGAGUCACAGCGAUUAAAACACCAAACUGUGGGAUGAGCCGUCAAAUUCAAUUACUCACAGGUGGUUGAUAAACUCAAUAUGCAGAGCAAGUGAGAAGUGGGAGUUUAAAAUUUUGGAUUAUUCAACUGUUACAUGCAGCUGCUUCUUAAAAGAAAUCUUGAAAAACUUGUAUGCAUUGGAGGCGACAGUGUUCAAACAUGUGUUCAGGGAUACUGUCCUUUUUUAUGGCGACAACCUUAGCAUUACAAUUAAAUUGGAGUGGGAAAGGAACAAAAAGAGGGCUGUCAAAUCUAGAAUUAAGAGACAUAAUAAAGGCUGUCGGGAUAAAAAAAAAAAAUCUGAAAGAGCGGCAAAGGCAACAAAAGGACAGUGAGGAAGUGAGCCAGGAUUAAAAACUUUUAAAUCAUUAUUUUCCAGAAAUGUCUACCAUCAUCUAUUUCAAACCUAUUUUGUAACUUUUGACAAUUUAAUUCCUAUAAAAAAUCAUUUUACAGA